rnacentral:rRNA from 1 species
GACGAACGCUGGCGGCGUGCUUAACACAUGCAAGUCGAACGGAAAGGCCCUGCUUUUGUGGGGUGCUCGAGUGGCGAACGGGUGAGUAACACGUGAGUAACCUGCCCUUGACUUUGGGAUAACUUCAGGAAACUGGGGCUAAUACCGGAUAGGAGCUCCUGCUGCAUGGUGGGGGUUGGAAAGUUUCGGCGGUUGGGGAUGGACUCGCGGCUUAUCAGCUUGUUGGUGGGGUAGUGGCUUACCAAGGCUUUGACGGGUAGCCGGCCUGAGAGGGUGACCGGCCACAUUGGGAAUGAGAUACGGCCCAGACUCCUACGGGAGGCAGCAGUGGGGAAUAUUGCACAAUGGGCGGAAGCCUGAUGCAGCAACGCCGCGUGCGGGAUGACGGCCUUCGGGUUGUAAACCGCUUUCGCCUGUGACGAAGCGUGAGUGACGGUAAUGGGUAAAGAAGCACCGGCUAACUACGU